rnacentral:misc_RNA from 1 species
CCGAGUUAGGGUACUCUUCGUGCCCGACCUCCAACCCUUUGUCUACCCGACCAAAUGUUGCUUCGGCAGGCCCGCCGCCCCGUGAGGGCGGCCGCCGGGGGUCUUUACCGACCUCGGGUCCGCGCCUGCCGAUGGCCCAUUCUAAAACUCUUGCUUAAAACGUGUCGUCUGAGUAUAACAAACAAAAAUUAAAACA